ensembl:lncRNA
UUGCUGCAGGGGUAGAGGGAGGUGCUUGGCAAGAAUAGGACAUUGCGGUCAGAGUGGGAUAUCUGAAAUGGGUACUAUGGGAGUGACUGAGUUUCUUGAGAUCACAGAGUUCAAGUUGUAACUGAGGGAGCAGGUGGCUUAGGGUGAAGUGGAGGAAAUCACUAGGAAGCUCAGUGAGCAGAGUCAAGAUUGUUGGCUGGUUAAUCCAUGGGGCUAUUGUAUUCAGCUGGAUGAUUACAGCAGCUAAGGUGAGGAUGGAGAUUGUGCACAGGUGCUAACGUCUUCAAGGAGGACUUGGAGGUUGAAGCAGCAAGAGUGGUGAAGCUGCAUGAUAUGAAUCUCAAAGUUCCAGAAAAGGAUUUGGAUGGAGCUGUUGGAAACCAGGAGGAUACUAAUCCAACUUCUUAGCCCACUGCUUAAGUACUGGAGGCGUGAGAGGGAAAACAAACAAAAAAGCACCUUGCCUGAGUAGGAUAAAGGAGAAAUCAUGUUUACUGGGAACAUCGAGGUUUCAGGGUUGUGACAAUUCAAAUUUUCCCCCUUGGAAGUACUGCACUAGAAGUAGGCCAUAAAGAAGAAUUUUCAGGACAUAAAAUAGGGCAGAUUUGGAAUUAAGAGAUGCAGCAUUCAAUAAAGGUGGACCUUAUUUUACAUAUUCUGAUUAUUGUGCUUCAAGCAAUCUCUUCUUCUCAAGUUACUCCCACCACAUGGCCUAGUCAACUGCUACUGAGCUGGGAACCAGAAGACCCUAGCAAGGUCACUUGGCUAACAUCAGGAUUUAUGCUUCACUAGUGCCAAGAUUUGGAGUCUAACACCCUCUCUUGACAUCCACUUGGAGAAUAAUUGGUUCAAUAUCUUGGCACAUGAAAAAUAAAGAUCAUCCGGAAACAUUUUGUUUUCAGGAACAAGGAAACUCAGUAGUUUCUGGGUUAGAGAUAAAAUGGACAAUUUGCUCAGCCUGAAAACAGGGCUUUUAGUGGACAAAUUUUGACACUUAGAGCAUCAAGGGAAAACAAUGGUUAAUGUCAAUUGAAACAUUCCCCAUAUGUGAUAUAAGCUACAGUGUUGAAACAAAAAUGUGAAUUUUCACAGAAAAUAUGUGCUAAAAGUUAGUUAUUUUGCCCACGAGUUUCCAAUAUUGUCUCCAAAAGUACAUAAAAUGACCAACACAAAUUUUAUGAGUCCAAGAGUGGAGUUGUAGCAACCUCCUAAAAAUACAAGAUAUAGAAGUGUUUUUUUUCAAUAUAGCAAAAGAAGAGAUUUAGAUAGGCAUGUAGGGGGAAUUUUGCGUGGUGUAUCUGGUUUUGUUAUGUUUUCUCUACUGGAGCUCUGGUGGCUCAGCUUGGCUCUUAUUUGUAGACUACUGUAGAACUCGCAUUUUGAUUGCUUGGUCAGUGAUAUAUGGGAAGUCAUGAGUCACAGACUGGGUUGUCUGUGAAAAGAAGAAAGAAAGAAAAGAGAGAAGAGAAGAGAAGAGAAAAGAGAAAACAUGAACUGGGACCAAUUUUUGGAAAUGCCACAAGCCACGCUGUUAACAAUCAGCAUCUGUCUAAGCUGUCAGUUUACUGAAUGAAACAUUUCAUCAUUCUGGCUAUAUCCAAAAUCAAACUGGUGGCAAAUCCCCCUUUAGAGACCAAAUCUCCACUGAAUGGAUAAAGCUUAAGAAAUAAAAAGUAACAAGUCAUCUACAACAAGCUAUGGGAGAUUUAUUACCAAUGACAGGACACCCUGAACUAUCAAAGCUUAACUGAUAACCUACUUGCAUAAAAAGAAGUCUUCAAAAUUGGAUCGUUCAUUGAUAUACAGGCAUCAUGAGCCCAAAAGUCAACUGAACAAGGAUGUUUGUGUUUACUGGUUACCUAUCAAUAUCUGCUUAAAGCUAUAGAACUUGCCUAAACAUAUCUUAGAAAUAUAAACUGUUAAAUGAGGUACCGCCAAACCAAGACAGCCUACCCAUCAUUAUCAAGCUGGUUUUUGGGGAUAUUGUUGCUUCUAAGUCAAUGGUUAGGUAGAUAAAGCCUUUUUUCUGAGAUGUUGGAGCUCUAUGUCCUAGUGCCAAGUAUAUUAUUAACUAAGAAAUUGUUCAUAAUUUUCAACAAGUUCCAGUUUUCUUUUGCAUGUGGAUACAUAUUUGUGGAAGUAGAGGGAUUUUGUGCUAAGAACUAUUCUGUUAGAGGUCUAGAUUUCUUAAAUCAUCUUAAAGAAAAUUUUCACCUUUAUCCUGCAAAAAACUCUUUUUCUAAAAUAACUUUGUCCUGUUAGAUUUUUUCCUCUUCAUCCUUGAGUUCACACUCUGAUAUAUGGGGUAAUGAAUAAUGACAUACAC